CCUACGGGAGGCAGCAGUGGGGAAUAUUGCGCAAUGGGCGAAAGCCUGACGCAGCGACGCCGCGUGAGGGAUGAAGGUUCUCGGAUCGUAAACCUCUGUCAGACGGGAAGAAAUUAUAUCAUGCUAAUCAGGGGUGUAUUGACGGUACCUUCAAAGAAAGCACCGGCUAACUCCGUGCCAGCAGCCGCGGUAAUACGGAGGGUGCGAGCGUUGAUCGGAAUUACUGGGCGUAAAGCGCACGUAGGCGGUAUGACAAGUCUAAGGUGAAAUGCCACGGCUCAACCGUGGAACUGCCGUUGAAACUGGCAAACUGGAGUAUGUGAGAGGGAGGCGGAAUUCCUGGUGUAGGAGUGAAAUGCGUAGAUAUCAGGAGGAACAUCAGUGGCGAAGGCGG
rnacentral:rRNA from 1 species